rnacentral:rRNA from 1 species
CCUACGGGAGGCUGCAGUGAGGAAUAUUGGUCAAUGGGCGGGAGCCUGAACCAGCCAAGCCGCGUGAAGGAAGCAGGCGCCAAGCGUCGUAAACUUCUUUUGUCGUGGAACAAAGGGCGCCACGUGUGGCGUUGUGCGUGUACCCGAAGAACAAGCAUCGGCUAACUCCGUGCCAGCAGCAGCGGUACUACGGGGGAUGCGAGCUUUAUCCGGAUUUAUUGGGUUGAAAGGGUACGUAGGCGGUCCGGACAGUCCGCGGUACCAGCCCGGGGCUCAACCCCGGCGAGCCGUUGAAACUGUCGGACUAGAGACGGCGAGAAGUACGCGGAAUGCGCGGUGUAGCGGUGAAAUGCAUAGAGAGCGCGCAGAACUCCGAUUGCGAAGGCAGCGUACCGGCGCCGGACUGACGCUGAGGCACGAAAGCGUGGGUAUCGAACAGGAUUAGAUACCCCUGUAGUC